rnacentral:rRNA from 1 species
CUACGGGCAUCGAUGGGUAGCCGGCCUGAGAGGGUGAACGGCCACACUGGGACUGAGACACGGCCCAGACUCCUACGGGAGGCAGCAGUGGGGAAUAUUCCGCAAUGGGGGAAACCCUGACGGAGCAACGCCGCGUGAGUGAAGAAGUUUUUAGGAAUGUAAAGCUCUGUCAUGAGGGAAGAAGAAAGUGACGGUACCUCAUAAGAAAGCUCCGGCUAACUACGUGCCAGCAGCCGCGGUAAUACGUAGGGAGCGAGCGUUGUCCGGAAUUACUGGGCGUAAAGGGCGCGUAGGCGGUCUGUUAAGUCAAAUGUGAAAUACACUGGCUCAACCAGUGGGCUGCGUUUGAAACUGGCAGACUUGAGUGCAGGAGAGGAGAGUGGAAUUCCUGGUGUAGCGGUGAAAUGCGUAGAUAUCAGGAAGAACACCGGUGGCGAAGGCGGCUCUCUGGCCUGCAACUGACGCUGAGGCGCGAAAGCGUGGGUAGCGAACGGGAUUAGAUACCCCGGUAGUCCACGCCGUAAACGAUGGAUGCUAGAUGGUCGGGGA